UUUCCGUAGGUGAACCUGCGGAAGGAUCAUUAAUGAGUUAGGGUCUUAUGGCCCGAUCUCCAACCCUUUGUAUAACUACCAUGUUGCUUUGACGGGCCCGUCUUCGGACCGUUGGAGGUCGUUUGACCUCUGGCCCGUGCCCGUUAGUAGCCCACUACAAAUUCUUUUAAAUCAUGAUUUUUCGAAAAACUAGUUAAAUAAACUAAAACUUUCAACAACGGAUCUCUUGGUUCUG
rnacentral:misc_RNA from 1 species